rnacentral:rRNA from 1 species
GACGAACGCUGGCGGCGUGCUUAACACAUGCAAGUCGAACGGAAAGGCCCUGCUUUUGUGGGGUGCUCGAGUGGCGAACGGGUGAGUAACACGUGAGUAACCUGUCCUUGACUUUGGGAUAACUUCAGGAAACUGGGGCUAAUACCGGAUAGGAGCUCCUGCUGCAUGGUGGGGGUUGGUAAGUUUCGGCGGUUGGGGAUGGACUCGCGGCUUAUCAGCUUGUUGGUGGGGUAGUGGCUUACCAAGGCUUUGACGGGUAGCCGGCCUGAGAGGGUGACCGGCGACCAUAGGACUGAGAUAGGGACCAGACGGGAAUGGUACGCAACGGGGGAGAGGCUAACAGAGUAGGGCGGAGGCAGAUGUGACAACGCCGCGUGCGGGAAGCCGGGAUUCGGGUUGAGAACCAAUGUCGCCUGAGACGAGGCGGGAGUGACGGUACCGGGUAAAGAAGCACCGGCUAACUACGUG